UACGGAGGGGGCUAGCGUUGUUCGGAAUUACUGGGCGUAAAGAGCGCGCAGGCGGUCGGAUAAGUCGAAUGUGAAAGCCCCCGGCUCAACUGGGGAGGGUCAUUCGAUACUGUUCGACUCGAAGGCAGGAGAGGGAAGUGGAAUUCCCGGUGUAGUGGUGAAGUGCGUAGAUAUCGGGAGGAACACCAGUGGCGAAGGCGACUUCCUGGCCUGUUCUUGACGCUGAGGCGCGAAAGCUAGGGGAGCAAACGGG
rnacentral:rRNA from 1 species